rnacentral:rRNA from 1 species
UUGAUCGCAUGAUCGAGGCUGGAAAGUUUUUCGGUUGAAGAUGACCUCGCGGCCUAUCAGCUUGUUGGUGAGGUAAUGGCUCACCAAGGCGACGACGGGUAGCCGGCCUGAGAGGGCGACCGGCCACACUGGGACUGAGACACGGCCCAGACUCCUACGGGAGGCAGCAGUGGGGAAUAUUGGGCAAUGGAGGAAACUCUGACCCAGCGACGCCGCGUGCGGGAUGAAGGCCUUCGGGUUGUAAACCGCUUUCAGUAGGGAAGAAGCGAAAGUGACGGUACCUACAGAAGAAGCACCGGCUAACUAUGUGCCAGCAGCCGCGGUAAUACAUAGGGUGCAAGCGUUGUCCGGAAUUAUUGGGCGUAAAGAGCUCGUAGGUGGUUUGAUACGUCGGGUGUGAAAUUCAGGGGCUCAACCCCUGACCUGCAUUCGAUACGGUCAAGCUAGAGUUUGGUAGGGGAGACUGGAAUUCCUGGUGUAGCGGUGGAAUGCGCAGAUAUCAGGAGGAACACCGAUGGCGAAGGCAGGUCUCUGGGCCAAUACUGACACUGAGGAGCGAAAGCGUGGGGAGCGAACAGGAUUAGAUACCCUGGUAGUCCACGCCGUAAACGGUGGGCGCUAGUUGUGCGAACCUUCCACGGUUUGUGCGACGCAGCUAACGCAUUAAGCGCCCCGCCUGGGGAGUACGAUCGCAAGAUUAAAACUCAAAGGAAUUGACGGGGCCCCGCACAACCAGCGGAGCAUGCGGCUUAAUUCGACGCAACGCGAAGAACCUUACCAAGGCUUGACAUAU